GGGGGCGCACCGGUUUCGACGGGGACGAAGAAGUACGAGACGCAUACCGAGGCCCAUGACCUCGUAAAAACGUGGAAACUAAUUAACUGCUGACUUUCAGCCAGCUUUAGCUGCUUAACACCAGCUAACGUCCUUGAUCAGUUCGCCUGUAGGUUGGUUAAAGGGCGUCACUUUAUGCAGGAUAGCCUCAAGCCGCUGGCCCGGCAGUACGAGGCGAAAUUCAACGGGCUGGCGCUCCGGUUAGCUGGCAGGUUCCUU
rfam:Acidobacteria bacterium 13_1_40CM_56_16 13_1_40cm_scaffold_1662, whole genome shotgun sequence.